UAUGUUAGCUUGCUAAUAUAUUUAGUAGCAAAUGGGUGAGUAACACGUACCUAACCUACUUUUUGGACCGGGAUAACUAUUGGAAACAGCAGCUAAUACCGGAUAAAAUAAAAAAAUGCAUGUUUUUUUAUUAAAAGGAGCCUUUAAAGCUCCACCAAAAAAUGGGGGUGCGCAACAUUAGUUAGUUGGUAGGGUAAAGGCCUACCAAGACGAUGAUGUUUAGCGGGGCCAAGAGGCUGUACCGCCACACUGGGAUUGAGAUACGGCCCAGACUCCUACGGGAGGCAGCAGUAAGGAAUAUUCCACAAUGAGCGAAAGCUUGAUGGAGCGACACAGAGUGCAG
rnacentral:rRNA from 1 species